UACGGAGGAUGCAAGCGUUAUCCGGAUUUAUUGGGUUUAAAGGGUGCGUAGGCGGAUUAAUAAGUCAGUGGUGAAAACCUGCAGCUUAACUGUAGACUUGCCAUUGAUACUGUUAGUCUUGAGUACGGUCAAGGUAGGCGGAAUGUGUAAUGUAGCGGUGAAAUGCUUAGAUAUUACACAGAACACCGAUUGCGAAGGCAGCUUACUGGGCCAUUACUGACGCUGAGGCACGAAAGCGUGGGGAGCGAACAGGAUUAGAUACCCCCGUA
rnacentral:rRNA from 1 species